rnacentral:rRNA from 1 species
UAGAAGGGAUGGCGACCGGCGCACGGGUGAGUAACACGUAUCCAACCUGCCGAUAACUCCGGAAUAGCCUUUCGAAAGAAAGAUUAAUACCGGAUGGCAUACGAAUAUCGCAUGAUAUUUUUAUUAAAGAAUUUCGGUUAUCGAUGGGGAUGCGUUCCAUUAGUUUGUUGGCGGGGUAACGGCCCACCAAGACUACGAUGGAUAGGGGUUCUGAGAGGAAGGUCCCCCACAUUGGAACUGAGACACGGUCCAA